CGAAGGAGUGGCGAACGGGUGAGUAAUACAUAAGCAACCUACCCACGAAGACUGGGAUAAUCUCUGGAAACGGGGACUAAUUCCGGAUAGGUAAUCGGAAGGCAUCUUCUGGUUAUUAAAGGUUAAAAACACUGGUGGAUGGGCUUAUGGCGCAUUAGUUAGUUGGUGAGGUAACGGCCCACCAAGACGAUGAUGCGUAGCCGGCCUGAGAGGGUGAACGGCCACAUUGGGACUGAGACACGGCCCAG
rnacentral:rRNA from 1 species